UUUAAAUCCCUGUGGGCACUAUGU
rnacentral:piRNA from 1 species